UUGUUUCUCCCAACAGUUUUGAAUUCAGACUCAAGAUCUGUUUGACAGCAGAUGGCAAUCUCACUUUAAUAUCACGAAUUCGUAAUAUCAAUUGCAAGCCUUUCAGUUUCUCCAUUGCAUUCCACACAUAUUUCUCCAUUUCUGAUAUCAGUGAGGUAAGGGUCGAGGGGCUUGAGAUUCUCGACUAUCUCGACAACUUAUGCGAUAAACAACGGUUCACCGAGCAAGGAGACGCCUUAACGUUUGAAUCCGAGAUCGAUCGGGUUUAUCUUAGUUCUUCAGAUCUCGU